GACGAACGCUGGCGGCGUGCCUAACACAUGCAAGUCGAACGAAGCAUUUGGAGCUGAUCUCUUCGGAGUGACGCGCCUUAUGACUUAGUGGCGGACGGGUGAGUAACACGUGAGCAACCUGCCUCUCAGAGUGGAAUAACAGUUAGAAAUGACUGCUAAUACCGCAUAACCCGCUAAGGUCGCAUGACCUAGACGGAAAAGAUUUAUCGGUACGAGAUGGACCCGCGUCUGAUUAGCUAGUUGGUGGGGUAACGGCUCACCAAGGCGACGAUCAGUAGCCGGCCUGAGAGGGUGAACGGCCACAUUGGGACUGAGACACGGCCCAA
rnacentral:rRNA from 1 species